CGAAGGGUGCAAGCGUUACUCGGAAUCACUGGGCGUAAAGCGUGCGUAGGCGGUUCGUUAAGUCUGCUGUGAAAGCCCUGGGCUCAACCUGGGAACUGCAGUGGAUACUGGCGGACUAGAGUGUGAUAGAGGAUGGUGGAAUUCCCGGUGUAGCGGUGAAAUGCGUAGAGAUCGGGAGGAACACCAGUGGCGAAGGCGGCCAUCUGGAUCAACACUGACGCUGAGGCACGAAAGCGUGGGGAGCAAACAGGAUUAGAUACCCUGGUAGUCCACGCCCUAAACGAUGCGAACUGGACGUUGGUUGCAACUUGGCAAUCAGUGUCGAAGCUAACGCGUUAAGUUCGCCGCCUGGGGAGUACGGUCGCAAGACUG
rnacentral:rRNA from 1 species